rnacentral:rRNA from 1 species
GGGGGGGGGGGGGGGGGGGGGUGGGGGGGGGAGGGGGGGGGGGGGGGGGGGGGGGUGGGGGGGUGCGCGGGGGGGGGGCGGGGGGGGGACACGUGGGUGGCCUGCCCUUGGCUUUGGGGUAACGUCAGGCAGCUGGGGCUGAGACCGGCUCGGAGCUCCUGCUGCAUGGUGGGGGUUGGAACGGUUCGGCGGUUGGGGAUGGGAUCGCGGCUUAUCCGCUUGUUGGUGGGGUAGUGGCUUACCAAGGCUUUGACAGGUAGCCGGCCUGAGAGGGGGACCGGCAACAGUGGGACUGAGAGACGGCCCAGACUCCUAGGGGAGGCAGCAGUGGGGAAGAUUGCACAAUGGGCGGAAGCCUGAUGCAGCAACGCCGGGGGCGGGAUGACGGCCUUCGGGGUGUAAACCGCUUUCGCCUGUGACGAAGAGUGAGUGACGGUAAUGGGUAAAGAAGCACCGGCUAACUACGUG